rnacentral:rRNA from 1 species
ACGGAGGAUCCGGGCGUUAUCCGGAAUUACUGGGUUUAAAGGGUGCGUAGGCGGGGCUUUAAGCCGGCGGUGAAAUGCAGCGGCUCAACCGCUGGAAUGCCGUUGGGACUGGGGCUCUUGGAUACGGUCGGGGCGGGUGGAACUCGUGGUGUAGCGGUGAAAUGCGUAGAUAUCGGGAAGAACACCAGUGGCGAAGGCGGCUCUCUGGCCUAGAACUGACGCUGAAGCGCGAAAGCGUGGGGAGCGAACGG